rnacentral:rRNA from 1 species
AGAUUGAACGCUGGCGGCAUGCCUUACACAUGCAAGUCGAACGGUAGAGUAGCAAUACUCGAGAGUGGCGAACGGGUGAGUAAUAUAUCGGAACGUGCCCAGUCGUGGGGGAUAACGUAGAGAAAUUUACGCUAAUACCGCAUACGAUCUACGGAUGAAAGCGGGGGAUCGCAAGACCUCGCGCGAUUGGGAGCGGCUGAUAUCAGAUUAGGUUGUUGGUGAGGUAAAAGCUCACCAAGCCGACGAUCUGUAGCUGGUUUGAGAGAACGACCAGCCACACUGGGACUGAGACACGGCCCAGACUCCUACGGGAGGCAGCA